rnacentral:misc_RNA from 1 species
UGAUUUUUGAAUGAGAUUGUUUUGAAUUUAAUUUUGGAUUUGCAAAUUACGAAUUUGAUGGUUUUUAAUAAGAUUGAUAUGAUUUAAAUUUUGGAUUUUGCAAAUGAUAGAUUUGUUGAUUUUAGAUGAGAUUGAUUUUAUUUUGAUUUUGGUUUUGUAGAUUAUACAUUUAUUGAUUGUGGAAGAAAUUGUUUCAAUUUUAA